rnacentral:rRNA from 1 species
UGCGUAGGCGGACCUGUAAGUGUUUUGUGAAAUCCCACGACUCAACCGUGGAAUUGCUGGGCAUACUGCAGGUCUUGAGACUGGUAGGGGCCGUCGGAACGAUAGGUGGAGCGGUGAAAUGCGUAGAUAUCUAUCGGAACGCCAAAAGUGAAGACAGGCGGCUGGGCCAGAUCUGACGCUGAGGCACGAAAGCGUGGGGAGCAAACA